rnacentral:lncRNA from 1 species
UGGUUGAACUUGAGUCUGUGUUUUUUUUAACUUGAGGUUGUGGCGUGUUUGAUCUUGAGUUUGUGGUGUUUCUUGAACUUAAGUUUGUUGAACUUGAGUUUGUGGCAAUUGUUGAACUUGAGUUUGUUGUGUAUUUGAACUUGAGUUUGUGUCAUGUUUGAACUUGAGUUUGUUGUGUAUUUAAACUUGAGUUUGUGUCAUGUUUGAACUUAAGUUUGUGGUGUUUGUGAACUAGAUGGUGUGAAGUAUGUUAAACUUGUGAAAUUGGUAUUGGUUGAACUUGAGUUUGUGGUUUUUGUUAAACAUGAGUUUGUGUCAUUUUUGAACUUUAGUUUGUGGUGUUUUUGAACUUUAGCAUGUGUUGUUUUUGAACUUGAGGUUUUGGAAAUUGUUAAACUUGAGAAUUGGGUAUUGGUUGAACUUGAGUUUUUGUUGUUUUUGAACUUGUAUUUGUGUCAUGUUUGACGUUUAGUUUGUGGUUUUUGUUGAACCUGAGUUUGUGUUGUGAUUGAUCUUGAGUUGCGUGUUUGGUGAACUUGAGUUUGUGUGUUUUUUGAACUUGAGUUUCUUUUGUUUUUGAACUUGAGUUUGUGGUGUUUUUGAACUUUAGCAUGUGUUGUUUUUGAACUUGAGGUUGUUGAAAUUGUUAAACCUGAGAAUUGGGUAUUGUUUGAACUUGAGUUUUUGGUGUUUUUGAACUUGAGGGUGUGGAAAUUGUUAAACUUGAGAAUUGGGUAUUGGUUGAACUUGAGUUUUUGGUGUUUUUGAACUUGAGGUUGUGGAAAUUGUUAAACUUGAGAAUUGGGUAUUGGCUGAACUUGAGUUUGGUGUAUUUGAACUUGAGUUUGUGUCGUAUUUGAACUUGAGUUUGUAUUGUGUUUGAACUAGAUUUUGUGUGUUUGUUGAACUUGAGGUUGUGGCAAUUGUUAAACUUGAGAUUUGGGUGUUGGUUAAACUUGAGUUUGUGUCGUGUUUGAACUUGAGUUCGUUUUGUUUGUUUAACUUGAGUUUGUGUGCUAUUUGAACUUGAGAUUGUGAAAAUUUUUAAUCUUGAGAAUCAGGUGUUGGUUUAACUUGAGUUUGUGGUUUUUGUUGAACUUGAGUUUGUGUCUUGUUUGAACUUGAGUUUGUUGUAUGUGUUUUUUGAUCUUGAAGUUCUGAAAAUUUAUAAACUUGGGAUUCAGGUGUUGGUUGAACUUGAGUUUGUGGUUUUUGUUGAACUUGAGUUUGUGUCGUAUUUGAACUUGAGUUUGUUUCUGGUUGAACUUGAGUCUGUGUUUUUUUUAACUUGAGGUUGUGGCGUGUUUGAUCUUGAGUUUGUGGUGUUUCUUGAACUUAAGUUUGUUGAACUUGAGUUUGUGGCAAUUGUUGAACUUGAGUUUGUUGUGUAUUUGAACUUGAGUUUGUGUCAUGUUUGAACUUGAGUUUGUUGUGUAUUUAAACUUGAGUUUGUGUCAUGUUUGAACUUAAGUUUGUGGUGUUUGUGAACUAGAUGGUGUGAAGUAUGUUAAACUUGUGAAAUUGGUAUUGGUUGAACUUGAGUUUGUGGUUUUUGUUAAACAUGAGUUUGUGUCAUUUUUGAACUUUAGUUUGUGGUGUUUUUGAACUUUAGCAUGUGUUGUUUUUGAACUUGAGGUUUUGGAAAUUGUUAAACUUGAGAAUUGGGUAUUGGUUGAACUUGAGUUUUUGGUGUUUUUGAACUUGAGGUUGUGGAAAUUGUUAAACUUGAGAAUUGGGUAUUGGUUGAACUUGAGUUUUUGGUGUUUUUGAACUUGAGGUUGUGGAAAUUGUUAAACUUGAGAAUUGGGUAUUGGUUAAAAUUGUUUUUUUUUUUAAUCUUGAGUUUUUGUUGUUUUUGAACUUGAGUUUGUGGUGUUUUUGAACUUGAGUUUCUGUUGUUUUUGAACUUGAGGUAGUGGAAAUUGUUAAACCUUAGAAUCAGGUGUUGGUUGAUCUUGAGUUUGUGUGUUUUUUGAACUUGAAUUUGUGUGUUUGAACUUGAGGGUGUUUUGUGUUUGAACUUGAGUUUGUGGUGUUUUUGAACUUGAGUUUGCGUCUUGUUUGAACUUUAGGGUGUGGAAUUUGUUUAACUUGAGAAUUUGGUAUUGGUUGAACUAGAGUUUUGUGGUGUUUUUGAACUUGAGUUUAUUGAGAUUGUUUAACUUGAGAAUCAGGUGUUGGAUGAACUUGAGUUAGUGUUUGUUGAACUUGAGUUUUGGUCGUGUUGGAACUUAAGUUUGUGGGGUUUUUUAACUUGAGUUUGUGUGUUUGUUGAACUUGAGUUUGUUUUGUGUUUGAACUCGAGUUUGUGGUUUUUUUUAACUUGAGUUUGUUUCAUGUUUGAACUUGCGUUUGUGUCGUUUGUUGAACUUGAGUUUGUGUCUUGUUUGAACUUGAGUUUGUGGUGUUUUUGAACUUGAGUUUUUGGUGUUUUUGAACUUGAGCUUGUGGAAAUUGUUAAACUUGAGAAUUGGGUGUUGGUUGAACUUGAGUUUGUGUGUUUUUUUGAACUUGAGUUUGUGGUGUGUUUGAACUUGAGUUUUUGGGGUUUUUUGAACUUGAGUUUUUGUGUUUGUUGAACUUGAGUUUUUGAUGUGUUUGAACUUGAGUUUUUGGUGGUUUUGAACUUGAGGUUGUGGAAAUUGUUAAACUUGAGAAUUGGGUAUUGGUUGAACUUGCGUUUUUUGUGUUUUUUAAAUUGGGUUAGUGUAGUGUUUGAACCUGAGUUUGUGGUAUUUUUGAACUUGAGUUGCGUGUUUCGUGACCUCGAGUUUUUGGUGUGUUUGAACUUGGUUGGUUGGUUGAACUUAAAAGUUUUUACAUUUGUUGAACUCGAGUUUUUGGUGUUCGUUGAACUUGGGUUUGUGUCGUGUUUGAACUUGAGUUUGUGGCGUUUUUGAACUUGAGGUUGUUGAAAUUGUUAAACUUGAAUUGGGUAUUGGUUGAACUUGCGUUUUUUGUGUUUUUCAAAUUGGGUUUGUGUAGUGUUUGAACUUUAGGUUGUGGAAUUUGUUAAACAUGAGAAUUGGGUAUUGGUUGAACUUGCGUUUUUGUUGUUUUUGAACUUGCGUUCGUGUUGUUUGUUUAACUUGAGUUUGUGUGUUUUUUGAACUUGAGGCUGUGAAAAUUUUUAAACUUGAGUAUCAGGUGUUGGUUGAACUUGAGUUUGUGGGUAUUGUUGAACUUGAGGUUGUGGCAACCAACUUGAGAUUUGGGUGUUGGUUUAACUUGAGUUUGUGUCGUGUUUGAACUUGCGUUCGUGUUGUUUGUUUAACUUGAGUUUGUGUGUUUUUUGAACUUGAGGCUGUGAAAAUUUUUAAACUUGAGUAUCAGGUGUUGGUUGAACUUGAGUUUGUGGGUAUUGUUGAACUUGAGGUUGUGGCAACCAACUUGAGAUUUGGGUGUUGGUUGAACUUGAGUCUGUGUUGUGUUUGAACUUGCGUUCGUGUUUUUUGUUUAACUUGAGUUUGUGUGUUUUUUGAACUUGAGGCUGUGAAAAUUUUUAAACUUGAGUAUCAGGUGUUGGUUGAACUUGAGUUUGUGGGUUUUGUUGAACUUGAGUUUGUGGAUUGUUUUAACUUAUGUUUGUGGUUUUUUUUAACUUGAGGUUCUGAAAAUUUUUAAACUUGAGAAUUGGGUAUUGGUUGAACUUGAGUUUUUGGUGUUUUUUAAAUUGAGUUUGUUUCGUGUUUGAACUUGAGUUUGCGGCGUGUUUGAACUUGAGUUUGUGGCGUGUUUGAACUUGAGUUUGUGUGUUUUUUGAACUUGAGGUAGGCAAUUUUUUAACUUAAUAUUUGGGUAUUGGUUUCACUUGAGUUAGUGUGUUUGUUGAACUUGAGUUUGUGUCGUGUUUGAACUUGAGUUUGUGGCGUGUUUGAACUUGAGUUUUUGUGUUUGUUGAACUUAAGGUUGUGGCAAUUUUUAAACUUAAUAUUUGGGUAUUGGUUUCACUUGAGUUAGUGUGUUUGUUGAACUUGAGUUCGUGUCGUGUUUGAUUUUGAGUUUGUGGUGUUUUUGAACUUGAGUUUGUGUGUUUGUUGAACUUGAGUUUGUGUUGUGUUUGAACUUGAGUUUGUGGUUUUUUUAACUUGAGUUUGUUUCAUGUUGGAACUUGAGUUUGUGGGGUUUGUUGAACUUGAGUUUGUGUCGUGUUUGAACUUGAGUUUGUGGUGUUUUUGAACUUGAGUUUGUGAUGUUUUUGAACUUGAGGUUGUGGAGAUUUUUUAACUUGAGAAUUGGGUAUUGGUUGAACUUGAGUUUUUGUUGCUUUUUAAUUUGAGUUUGUGUCGUGUUUAAACUUAGGUUUUUGUGUGUUUGAACUUGAGUUUGUGUGUUUGUUGAACUUGUGGCUGUGGAAAUUGUUAAACUUAAGAUUUGGGUGUUGGUUGAAUUUGAGUUUGUCUCGUGUCUGAACUUAAGUUCAUGAUGUUUGUUUAACUUUAGUUUGUGUGUUUUUUGAAAUUGAGUUUUUGAAAAUUUUUAAACUUGAGAAUCAGGUGUUGGUUGAACUUUAGUUUUUGGUUUUUUUGAACCUGAGUUUGUGUCGUGUUUGAGCUUGAGUUUGUUGUGUUUUUGAACUUGAGUCUGUGUUGUUUUUGAACUUAAGGUUGUCAAAAUUGUUAAACUUGAAAAUUGGGUAUUGGUAUGACUUGAGUUUGUAUUGUGUUUUUGAACUUGAGUUUGUGUCAUGUUUUAACUUUAGUUUGUGGUUUUUUUCAACUUGAAUUUGCGUGUUUGGUGAAAUUGAGUUUGUUUGUUUUUUGAACUUGAGUUUCUGUUGUUUUUGAACUUUAGGUUGUGGAAAUUUUUAAACUUGAGAAUUGUGUAUUGUUUGAACUUGAGUUUGUUGUGUGUUUGAACUUGAGUUUGUGUGUUUUUUGAACUUGAGGUAUUGGCAAUUGUUAAACUUGAGAUUUGGGUGUUGGUUGAACUUGAGUUGUGUCGUGUUUGAACUUGAGUUCA